GCUGUUUUUCUGUUUAAUGUUGCUUUGAAAAUGCAAGGGAGGAUAAGGAUUUUUGAGGAUGCAGACACAUGGCCAGCAGCAGAUGUACGCUGUUGUAUUUUCACAAGGCUAUGGUGGAUGUAAUGUGGCUGUCAAAGAGUUGUCCGUAAAACUUGUUUUUGCAGGAGGGCCAAAGAGCUUAAAAAAGAAGUCACCCACUGUGCCCAAACCUCCAGGCUCAGGACUGUGGCAGCUGCAGCCUUGAACAUAAAAAUGGCAGGACAUAAAAACAAAAAAUCUUCAAGCACUCAUUUAUGUCAUGUCAUGUUUUUUGGUUUGGUUAUUGUUUUUUUCGUGUUGCAAGAUUUCGCAUCAUUUCACACAUGUCAUUUUGUACUUCUAUUUUUCUCAGCAAUUACUGAUGGAUUGUUUACUUUCUGUGUUGAAAUGUUACCAUUUCCCAGAAAAAAUGACUAGAGAAUACUACAGAAUGGUGUAAUAAAAAAUUCAGUGAUGAAAGGAAAACAUGUGAAAAAUUGAAAUAAUACAUAAGUAAAUGUAUGUGAAAUAAA